UACGUAGGGUGCUAGCGUUGUUCGGAAUCAUUGGGCGUAAAGCGCGCGUAGGUGGCCCCAUAAGUCCGCUGUGAAAGUCAAAGGCUCAACCUUUGAAAGCCGGUGGAUACUGUGGGACUAGAGUACGGAAGAGGCGAGUGGAAUUCCUGGUGUAGCGGUGGAAUGCGCAGAUAUCAGGAGGAACACCAAUAGCGAAGGCAGCUCGCUGGGACGUUACUGACACUGAGGCGCGAAAGCGUGGGGAGCGAACAGG
rnacentral:rRNA from 1 species